rnacentral:rRNA from 1 species
UCUGGUAGUUAUGGCGAGAAGGUCACACCCGUUCCCAUCCCGAACACGGUAGUUAAGCUUCUCUGCGCCUGUCUCAUAUACACAUCACCGAGCCCACGAGAC